rnacentral:rRNA from 1 species
GACGAACGCUGGCGGCGUGCCUAACACAUGCAAGUCGAACGGAGAUUUUAGCAAUAAAAUCUUAGUGGCGAACGGGUGAGUAACGCGUAGACAACCUGCCUUCUAGAUGGGGACAACACUGGGAAACUAGUGCUAAUACCGCAUAAUAUUGUUGAUCGGCAUCGUUUAACAAUUAAAACUCAGGUGGUUAAGAUGGGCAUGAGUGACAUUAGCUAGUUGGUAAGGUAACGGCUUACCAAGGCUACGAUGUCUAGGGGUUCUGAGAGGAUGAUCCCCCACACUGGUACUGAGACACGGACCAGACUCCUACGGGAGGCAGCAGUGAGGAAUAUUGGUCAAUGGGCGCAAGCCUGAACCAGCCAUCCCGCGUGAAGGAUGAAUGUCUUAUGGAUUGUAAACUUCUUUUCUGUGCAAAGAAUAUGCCUUACGAGUAGGGUAUUGACGGUAGUACAGGAAUAAGCACCGGCUAACUCCGUGCCAGCCGCCGCCGUAACAC